GCAGGGAGCCCUGAGGGGGCUGCUUUCCGGAUUCUGUACGGGGAACGUGUCAUUCAUUUAUUUGAGAAACGUGUUCCGCCCUGGCACUUGGGAAUACGCUUAGGGGAAGUGGCAAGAGGUGGGCUCGUCCUAAACCGCCAAGGGCAGAAGCGGUUGGCAGAUGCAGAACUAGAAGCAAUUAGAUUUCUUUUUUUCUUUUUAUCUUUUAAUCCUGCAAACCAAGGACAUAGAUCGUUUUCUACAGGCGCGGUUUUAAGUCUCUCCUAAGACUUUGUGGCGUCCAGUCUCCAGUCUCUCUCCUCCACUUGAUUUUUCUUAAGUCUAGAGUUUUUACCUGGGGCGGCAGAAGUCUCCAGACCCCCAGGUGUCCUACAGAAGGAGAUGGGGGUCCAGCUGGGAACAAACAAGCUGCCUUUCUUCUGAAGCUUACAGGCUCUUGUGGGACAACAAAUAAUAAACAGGACAAGACCGAGCCCUGCCCCACCUGCCUUGCUGAGCCUAUGAAAAGCAUCCAGAGCCCUCUGCUUUAAGGGUUUUAUUGCUAAUGCAAAGAGCUGGGGAACUAAAGGUGUGCUUGAAAACUAAGGAAAUCUCGGGCGCCUGGGUGGCUCAGUUGGUUGAGCG